UCCGCCCUGGUGUAACGGCAGCACGCCGGCCUUUGGAGCCGUGAGGACUGGGUUCGAAUCCCGGGGGCGGAG
rnacentral:tRNA from 1 species